AUGGAUCACCAAUCUGUUAUUACACCAUGGGACCUGGAGUGCAUGCUAUGUGAUGAAACAGCAGAGCCGAAGGCCUUGCCGCUAUCGCUUCUGAAAAAAAUCACACAUGAUUUCUCUGAUAAGCAGGCAAUUGGUAGAGGUGGAUUCGCGGUGGUUUAUAAGGGAAUGCUUGAGAAUAGAACCGUGGCCGUGAAGAGAAUGUCGAAUACGUAUAUGUACGAGAAGGAGUUCCAGCGAGAAGUUGAAUGUCUCAUGAUAGCGAAGCACAAAAAUGUAGUACGGUUUCUAGGAUAUUGUGCUGACACACAAGGGAAUAUGGCAAGGUAUGAAGGAAAAUUCGUCAUGGCAGAUGUCCAGCAAAGGUUGCUAUGUUUCGAGUAUCUUCCUAAAGGGAGUCUUCAUGAGUAUAUCACUGAUAUGUCUUGUGGACUUCAGUGGAGAGACCGCUAUCAGAUUAUCACGGGAAUUUGUCAAGGGUUACAUUAUCUUCAUCAUAAACAUAUUGUCCACUUAGAUCUAAAGCCCGCAAAUAUAUUGUUGGAUGAUGAUUGGGUACCAAAAAUUACCGAUUUCGGCAUAUCAAGGUGCUUUCAUGAAAUGCAAAGCCAAGUUAUUACUAAAAUAGCUGGAACGCCCGGAUAUUUGGCACCAGAAUCUUAUAACCAUACUAAAGUCACAUACCGGCAUUCGUACCGGCUUGAUAUCUACAGUCUUGGUAUAGUAAUCAUAGAGAUACUCACUGGAAAUAAGGGGUAUCACGAUGUUGACAAGGUAGUUGAAAGUUGGAGUAACAUGUUGGAGCAAUCACAGAGCGAGGUACAGAAGAAACAAAUACGAGUAUGUGCUCAGAUAGGAAUAGAGUGCACAAACUUUGACCCGGCGAAGAGACCAGAUACACUACAUAUAAUUAGUAGACUCGAUGAAACCGAAAGUAUGGGCGGAUAUAUCAAAACAGGCAUGAUUACUUCACAACAGGUCGGAGAUGUUCUGAAUAAACUGCAUCAAGAUGCACCUAACACGCCAAGAGAAUCAAGCUCAGAGGAGAAUGCCACUGUAGUUACAGUGGCAGGGACAAACAAAUAUGACAGUUUUUGGAGAAAUAUGGCAAACCUUGACAUGUUCAAUGAGACCAUACAUAGUCUUGAUCCAGACAUCAAGCGAUGCUUUGAAUAUUGCAGUAUUUUUCCCAGAGGAUCCAAGUUGAGAAUGGUCGAGUUAGUUCACCUGUGGAUAGCGCAAGGGUUUGUCAAGAUCAGUUGUGCAACAGAAGACAUGGAAGAAGUAGCUGAGGGCUACUUUCAAGAGUUAGUGUCGCGCUCAUUUCUGCAACCAGAAGAAAGUAGUUAUGAUACCGGUUGCUUCACAAUUCAUGAUGCCCUGCUUGAUUUAUUCGACAAAGUUUCUGGAGAUUGCUUCAGAAUCGAGAAUGGCCAUAGAGGAGAUGGCUGGGAAGGAGAUAUCCGUCAAGAUAUCCAGCAUCUUUUAAUUCGUUAUUAUGAUGGCAAAUUGAUUACUGAGAAGAUCCUUGGAUUGGAAAAUUUGCUCACUCUCAUUGUUUAUAAAGUUGACGCAGCACCAGUUGAGGAAAGAGUGAUCGAGAGUAUAUGCAAGAGACUGCCGAAAUUGCGGGUACUGGCCAUUCCUUUCAUCCUAGAACGUUAUCCGGGGAUGGAACCAAAUGAGUUGUCUGUCCCAGGAUCCAUUACCCAGUUAAAGCACCUACGCUAUCUUGCUUUCAGGACAAAUAGAGCAUGCAUGUUAAGCAUACCAAGAGCACCAAAUAAACAUCACCGUGUCCAGGUGCUAGAUUUUGGUGAUGGCAAAUUGGAUGAGUUUAACUGUGUUGACCUUAUCAACCUGCGCCACAUAAAUUCCGGCUCAUCGCAGUUCCCAUUUCGUAACAUAAGCAGGCUGACCUCACUCCAAACGAUAGCAUGUGCCUUCAGAAUAAGGGAUGCACCAGGAUAUGAGGUAAAGCAGCUGAGGGACCUAAACAAGCUUCGCGGCAGUCUGGAGAUAAAUGGUCUUGAAAUUGUUAAAAGCAAGGAGGAAGCUCUUGAAUCCAAACUAGCUGCCAAGGAACGGCUCAGCGAACUGAAACUGCAGUGGAGGCACAGUUCGCCAGAAGUCCAAGCAGAGGUACUUGAGGGCCUGUGCCCUCCCGUGGCGCUUCAAACACUGGAACUGCAUUGCUACAAUGGCUCGAGGUACCCAGAUUGGAUGGUUGGUAAGCCGGACGGUGGCCCAAAGGAGCUGCAAGAACUUUUGUUCUGGAGUUGCUCCCAACUAGAGCAUGCUCCUGAGGCUUUCCCUCAUCUGCGUGUGCUCAAGCUUGCAUACUGUAAUUGGGACGCCUUACCAGGCAAUAUGGAGCACCUCACAUCACUCAAGAAACUGGAGAUCGAGUGGUGCUCCGAAAUCCGGUCGCUUCCAACACUGCCCCAGUCUCUUGAGGAGUUUUCUGUUGAGUGGUGCAAUGAUGGGUUUAUGAAGUCUUGUCAAAUAUUCGGGCAUCCAAACUGGCAAAAGAUUGAGCACAUCCCCAGGAAAACAAUCGAAGGCCUAGCACCUAUGCAGGAAGUGGGAAUCAAGAUUCGGUCCGGCAUCAAUCUCCUGACAAGCUUUUGGCAUCGCAAGAAAGUAUGA
rnacentral:rRNA from 1 species